rnacentral:lncRNA from 1 species
UCUUGAUCUUGUAGUUCGCUUGUCUACGAUGGCAUAUUGAUGUGCAACGUGUGAUGAGUUCGAACUCGAGCAAGGCAGUUGGCGAGAGACUGAGAGAGUGACUAAGGAAACAGAAGCAAGCUUUGUGUAAACAAUUGAAGUAUUCUUAAAUAUCUCUUUUUCAGAAUCUUUUACCAAUAAUGUGAGAUAUAAAAGUGUAGAUAUGGACACUGAUCAAAUAAUUUCGAGGAUAUUGAUUGAACAAAUACAUUAUUAUGUAAACGUUUCUUUCCGAUACAUUAAUUAUAGAAAAUUGUAUGUGAUCAUUCAAGAUCCAAAAAUCAAAAAUAACAAACCGACUGGGUCGGAUAUAAUUUU